CCUAGGCCGAAGGUAACUUGCUUGCUUCGUGGUGAUCCAGGCAUGCGCAGGAAGGGGCAGGGAAGGAUACAAGGCAGAGGCUCCCAUGACUCAGCCUCCACCCACUCCACUUAAUCUCCAAGGACUGCUUCAAGGAACAGAGACGAAACUAUUCCAUGGGACUCAGGCAGAGAUGCAGCCCACAUCCAUGGCCCCUUUCCCCACUGAGAAGCGCUCAGCAUUGCUCAGGCCUCUCGGGGACACUUCUUUUCAGGUCUGGUCCCUUCCGGCUGUUUAUUGCUGUUUGCUGUGGAAACGGCUGGCUUCCAGGCCCUGUGGUGAGCAGGUGCAGAGGGGAGUGAAGAGCAAGCACUCCUGGAAAACCGAAAAGCCUCCACCAGCCUCUCUCCUGCCACAGAGCCCGCCUCUGGUCCUCACUGGCGCUAUUUCCACCUGGAUGGCAUAAUGUAUGUUCCUCUCAGUGCCAGGAAAGCAGGCUCCUAAUCUCUGAAGAGUUCUACAAAAAUAAACACAGAAGACUUCCUGGUACACACACAGGCAAAAAGUGGUACACUUCACAUAUGGUGCAAAUAGUGGAUAUUUAUGUUUCUGAAAAAUUGUAGGUUCUUUAAAAUAGAUGACAGAGAAAGUGAGCUUGGAAGGGGCUGUGAUACAAAGGUAAUUGUCAAGUUGUCCCUGGAGCUCAGGAAUAGAAGAUGAGUUUCAGCCAGGAGAUUAGGCCCAACCUUGGCAUCCUACACCAGUCCGACAAGAAGGGAGCACUCAUUUAUGCUGGCAGAUCAUGGUGUGCUUCGGUCCCGAUCUUUAAGAAGCCAAUGAUGCAACUGGAGAUCUUGGGUUGUUUUUUAGUUCAGAGUUGAAAGGGGAAAGAAAAGUGUUUCUUGCCCACCAGUGGUGUGUCUGGUGCAGUGAAUGAGAUCCAGUUGCUGCCUCAGGUGCUGCGAUCCCUGGGAGACAAAAACAGAAAGGCCCUCAGGGCGGUAUGGUGGGUGCCAUAACUAGGUGCUGUGCAGGGAGGGCCUCUCUCAAGAGGCAGUGCCCACAGCUCAACCGGGUCUUCUCCAGGCUCUGAGCCUGGAGGACCAUUGCUCUGAAUCAGUCCGGCAGUGUGCGAGCCUCACUGGGAGACGCUGUCUCCUCCUGGGAGUGGGAUAAGGAGGGCUAGCUGCUUGUAUUUGAAAAACAUCCCAGGUGAUUUCACAUGCAGAUGGGGCUUAAGACUACAAUUCUAAUUCAGGCUUUCCUUGGUCUCCUACAGGGGGCAGGGAAAACUGACUAUCCAGGUCAUGGGGUCCAGAGCAAAAGAAAAAUGUGAGAAUCCUUGUUCAAAACUAUUAAGAACUUCAAGACGGUGCCUGCAGCACAUUAGAGCAAGCGCAGGCCCUCCGGAAGGCAGACCCUGUGGCUGCACAGGUUGCAGCCCUACAGAGUUGGCACUUGGCCUCUAGCCACCAGCUCCCUGGCAGCCUCCUCAGAAGGACGCGCAGCUGCGUCCUCAUCCUUGGUGGUUCUUCUGAGUAGGAUCACGAGCUGGCAGCUCAAGGCAGCCAACCUUCCGGUCAGAUGUAGCCUUGGAAGAAUGAAGUCAUCUCCAGAGGAGGAGCCAGGCAGGGGAGACCUUCCCAGCUCUCUGCAUGUCCUGCUCCUUCUCGAAUGAGCUUAUGCUUCUUCAAAGCCCCAUGCUUGCUGUCAUCUCGCUGUGCACCCACAUUCUGGUGACUCUCCCCUGGUCCGCUCUCUGUACCCCAGGAGUUAACCAGGAGAACCAAGUCAGUUGCCCUCCUCCCUGAGAGGUGCUGCUCACUGAAGGGCAAUUCCCAGCUGGCUUUUCCAUCUUACCGAAGGUGAAUUAAAGAGAAGAUGGAUCUCUCCCCAGCCAGCCCAUGCUGUGGAAAUUCCCACUUGGUGGGAGGGAUUUAAACGGUUACAGGGAGCCAGCUCUACUCACGUGUUACUUCACAGUGGUUUCUGGAAAUUGCACUUUUCGCUGUUGUCCAUGACACUGGCUCACCCCCUGGGAAGCUGGUGACAGAGCUGAUGUCCUCUGCUCACCAGCUGUAUUCUGGGAACCUCUAGCUCUGCCUGCACCCAAGCUUUGGCAUCAGAGUCAGGGCUCUGCCAUGGCACAGGAUGUCCUCUCUGAUUUCCUCUUUACAUUUCUAUUUGGUUGGCUUCACACUCUGGAAAGCGGUGCUUCAUAAAGGAUAUUUUUGGGAAGGAAUGAGUGAGUGUGUGUGUGUGUGUGUUCAUGUACACACAUGUAUAAAGGGCAAGAGUAAAGUUUACUUAUCUUUAUUUCCUCCCCAAUUCUAAGCCAGGACCCCACAGCUAAGGCAUUAAUGUGAGACCUAAAAUUUGGCUCCAUCUUAAGAGUGAGGUGGCCUAAGACAUAAACUCCAGUUCCUAGAAAAACCACAAGAUGUACUUUGCCCACCUGCUUGUGAUAAGUGUUCAGCCGUCCCCUGGCAACAGCUACCCCAAUGUCCCAGGUGUAACCUUUUGCAGCUUGGGUGUGCAAGGCACAACCAAUCAGGUUUAAUUGCCAAUCUAGAAUGUUGCUGUAACUACUAUGAAAACCCCUGCUGAUUUGGAGUCAGGGCUCUCAAUUCUGAUCCGCUGCGUCGGUGACGGUUGGGAGUCCCUGCUGGAGCUUGAAUAAACGACCCUCAUGUGCUUACAUCGGAAUCGGCUUCCUGGUGGUCUUUGGGACCUCACGAUCUGGGCACAACAUUAACAAAUGUUUACUGAAUAAAAUCUACUUCUAAAUCA
rnacentral:lncRNA from 1 species